rnacentral:rRNA from 1 species
CUACGGGUCGCUCCAGUGAGGAAUAUUGGUCAAUGGGCGAGAGCCUGAACCAGCCAUCCCGCGUGCAGGAUGACGGCCCUAUGGGUCGUAAACUGCUUUUCCAUACCAAGAAACCUGAUUACGUGUAAUUAGUUGCCGGUAGUAUGGGAAUAAGCAUCGGCUAACUCCGUGCCAGCAGCCGCGGUAAUACGGAGGAUGCAAGCGUUAUCCGGAUUCAUUGGGUUUAAAGGGUGCGCAGGUGGGCUUGUAAGUCAGUGGUGAAAUGUUGCCGCUUAACGGUAAAAUUGCCAUUGAUACUGCAAGUCUUGAAUAUAGUUGAGGUAGGCGGAAUGUGUUGUGUAGCGGUGAAAUGCAUAGAUAUGACACAGAACACCGAUUGCGAAGGCAGCUUACUAAGCUAUUAUUGACGCUGAGGCACGAAAGCGUGGGGAUCGAACAGGAUUAGAUACCCGCGUAGUC